ACAGGGUUCAAAUGGAAACUCAAGUUCAUCUCUGGGUCUACGCCUGCUUCCUCAUUCAACUCCUACGCUUUUUUCCCAUCUCCAAGACCGUUUUUUUUGUUCUCAGAUCUUGACAAUGAUAUUCAUCUCGACGGUAUUACACUGAUAUUGUGGAUUUAAGAUGAAUCAGUCCGGGUCGCAGCUAGGUCCAUACGGCUUUGGCCCCGCAGUCGGUUAUUUACAGGUAAAUUACAUUUAAUGUCAACAACUCAAUAUCUUUGAAUGAGUCUUAGAAUUUUACUCAUUUUAGGGGAAAUUACUCACCACAACAAAGUCUCAACAUUCUAAUUCUUUUUAAUUAUAUGGUGAUUCAUCAGCUCUAUUCUUUUGUUUUGUUGAUAUGAUCUCAGUGCGUUGAGUAUGUGGAUAUUAGUUAGGAAAUCUUAGAUUCCAUUUGAUGGCAGCUGAUUAUAUGUAUGUGAUAAAAAGUUCUGAAGGAGGAGACUUUCACAAUGCUAGCUUAAUUGUCUUGGGAAUAUCCUGUUGAGCCCCUCUGUUCGUGUCUUGAACUAUGUAAAGGUAAUUUCUUUUUUAAAAUUGCACCAAAAUCUAACACAUACCCAAAUAAUGCAAAAAAUUUCGUUCAAGCAGAGUUUGUGCUGAAAGGAUGUGCAUGUGAAGGAGAAAGGACUAUCACAUUCACUGUAUCUGAUUCAGUAAAUAAAGAAAUAUAUGAAAAAUGUCUCUGAUAUGAUAUAUUCCUUAUCAAGGGAAGUGUACAUUCAACUCCUAUAGCCAGAGGAACCAUUACUAGCAAUCCAUGCUUAACAAUCUUUGAAGUGGUAGAAGAUUCAUUGAAUGCGAUUCUUUACUUAUAAGAGUAUAAGAUAUUUCAUAUCUGAUGUUUACAUGCAGAGAUGGUGAUUGUUUGUAACUUUUUGUUGACAGCUUUAAUUUUCUUUCAAUUUGAUGUAGCAAGUGUUAUAAUUUAUAAUGCUUCAGUGAAUAGAAUAAAUACAUGAGAUCA